UCCGGGUUGGACCCGGCGGUCCCGCCAGACAUGGUAACUGGCAGCGAGGGUUGCGCUCGUUGCGGGACUUAACCCAACACCUCACGGCACGAGCUGACGACAGCCAUGCAGCAUCUGUGCGUGCUCCCUUGCGGGUCCUUCUGGUUUCCCAGUCGUACCACACGCAUGUCAAGCCCAGGUAAGGUUCUUCGCGUUGCAUCGAAUUAAUCCGCAUGCUCCGCCGCUUGUGCGGGCCCCCGUCAAUUCCUUUGAGUUUCAGUCUUGCGACCGUACUCCCCAGGCGGCGAACUUAACGCGUUAGCUUCGACACUGAUCUCCGAGUUGAGACCAACGUCCAGUUCGCAUCGUUUAGGGCGUGGACUAC
rnacentral:misc_RNA from 1 species